AAUGAAUCUGCAAGAAGGUUCUCUACACUUCCCCAGCAAACAACAACUCACACGCUUCAUUUGUUUCCGUGGGAUAAAAUAAGGUUGGAUACUUUUUGAGUGCAC